AUUGAACGCUGGCGGCAGGCCUAACACAUGCAAGUCGAACGAGUGGCGGACGGGUGUGUAAUGUCUGGGAAACUGCCCGUUGGAGGGGGCUAACUACUGUAAACGGUAGCUAAUACCGCAUCCCAUCGGAUAUGCCCAGAUGGGAUUAGCUAGUGGGUGGGGUAACGGCUCACCUAGGCGACGAUACCUCGCUGGACUGAGAGGAUGACCAGCCACACUGGAACUGAGACACGGUCCAGACUCCUACGGGAGGCAGCAGUGGGGAAUAUGGCACAAUGGGCGCAAGCCUGAUGCAGCCAGGCCGCGUGUAUGAAGAAGGCCUUCGGGUUGUAAAGUACUUUCAGCGAGGAGGCGUUACUCGCAGAAGAAGCACCGGCUAACUCCGUGCCAGCAGCCGCGGUAAUAC
rnacentral:rRNA from 1 species